CUUGCGGCCGCGUAGCCCCAGAUCCUGGACACCAAGGUCCUCACAGCCUGCCACGCCCAUGCGCUGCUGCUGCCGUGGGGAGGGAGAAGUCGCCCGGCUGGGGUCCUGGCGCCCCGGCCGGCCCAGCGCGCACGCCGAUCCGGCUGGAGGUGAGCCUCACCUGCGAUCGGGCAGCCAGGCAGGUCAGCGUGCACGUCUGAGCACAGCUGCGCGCGGCCGGCGCGAGGAGUGUCGACUGCAGAUGCCUAAGUAGCAACCAAGGCGCCAGGCAGGCUGGGACGUGCCCCUCAGCAAAAGCCCUGGCUGCAGGUGUCUUGCGGCCCCUCAGCAAGACUCUCUGGUGAUAGGAGAACGGCUCGAGGUGUGAAGCCCAGAGCAUGGUGGAGCCUGACCCCUCGCUGAGCAAUCCUGCUUUCUGAGCAUGGCUGACCCUGCCAGGGAGGCCAGGCAUCAGGCUGGUCCAGCCAGGUGCCGCCAAAUUAUUGUUGAGGAAUGGUUAGAGCACGGCGAGGUGAGCUGCAGGGUCCACACCUGCAGCAAGGCGCGUCCACAAGUGGAGAUCUGCUGCCUCGAUCUGCUCAGGUGCCAGCCUCUGGCAGGGCUAGCAGCUGUCCGGCGCCGCGUUCCGACGGAUCUGCAGCAUGCAGAGAUGGCUUUGGUGGCAGGAGGAGCGUGAAAGCAUGUCGAUCAGGGCGCUUUUGGGGUCAGGUCAGGACAUCGCGCUGGCCAUCCUCGAGCCCAGCAGCCACAGCGAGGGAGGAUCGCCACAGCAACCAGUGCAUAAAUGUUCACAAACAUGAUACCUGAGAUCUGCGGAGGCGAAGGGUGCGCCGGCGAGCUCCUGGGCUCCAAACCGGACAGGGAUGCGCAUCGCAACAUGUGCAAAGUCCGGCGCCGGGCGACGCACUGGCGUGCCAAAGGCCCGGAAGCAAGAAAUAGCAAGCUACACGAUGCUCUUGUCAGGGCGCGGCAGCCUGGGAGCCCGCAGAAAGUGUCGUU
rnacentral:lncRNA from 1 species